CCUACGGGAGGCAGCAGUGAGGAAUAUUGGUCAAUGGGCGAGAGCCUGAACCAGCCAAGUCGCGUGAAGGAUGACGGCCCUACGGGUUGUAAACUUCUUUUGUCAGGGAGCAAUUGGGUCCACGCGUGGGCUUAGCGAGAGUACCUGCAGAAAAAGCAUCGGCUAACUCCGUGCCAGCAGCCGCGGUAAUACGGAGGAUGCGAGCGUUAUCCGGAUUUAUUGGGUUUAAAGGGUGCGUAGGCGGAUUAUUACGUCAGCGGUAAAAUUUCGGGGCUCAACCCCGUCGUGCCGUUGAAACUGGUGUUCUUGAGUGGGCGAGAAGUAUGCGGAAUGCGUGGUGUAGCGGUGAAAUGCAUAGAGAUCACGCAGAACUCCGAUUGCGAAGGCAGCAUACCGGCGCCCAACUGACGCUGAAGCACGAAAGCGUGGGUAUCGAACAGGAUUAGAUACCCCAGUAGUC
rnacentral:rRNA from 1 species